rnacentral:rRNA from 1 species
CCUACGGGUGGCAGCAGUGAGGAAUAUUGGUCAAUGGACGAGAGUCUGAACCAGCCAAGUAGCGUGAAUGAUGACUGCCCUCUGGGUUGUAAACUUCUUUUAUAUGGGAAUAAAUUGUUCCACGUGUGGGAUUUUGUAUGUACCAUUUGAAUCAGGAUCGGCUAACUCUGUGCCAGCAGCCGCGGUAAUACGGAGGAUCCGAGCGUUAUCCGGAUUUAUUGGGUGUAAAGGGAGCGUAGGUGGAUUGUUAAGUCAGUAGUGAAAGUUUGCGGCUCAACCGUAUAAUUGCAGUUGAAACUGGCAGUCUUGAGUACAGGAGAGGUGGGCGGAAUUCGUAGUGUAGCGGUGAAAUGCUUAGAUAUCACGAAGAACUCCGAUUGCGAAGGCAGCUCACUGGACAGCAACUGACACUGAGGCUCGAAAGUGUGGGUAUCAAACAGGAUUAGAUACCCGUGUAGUC